rnacentral:rRNA from 1 species
GACGAACGCUGGCGGCGUGCCUAAUACAUGCAAGUCGAACGCAGUGGGGCCGGGUGAGUAACACGUGGGUCAUCAACCAUCAGCGGGGAUAACACUUGGAAACAGGUGCUAAACCGAUACUGAUGGAUGGAACCGCGGUGCAUUAGCUAGUGGGUGAGGUAACGGCGCACCAAGGCCACGAUGCAUAGCCGACCUGAGAGGUUGAUCGGCCACACGGGGACUGAGACACGGCCCAGCCUCCUACGGGAGGCAGCAGUAGGGAAUCUGCGGCAAUGGACGAAAGUCGGACCGAGCAACGCCGCGUGAGUGAAGAAGGUUUUCGGAUCGUAAAACUCUGUUGUUAGAGAAGCGGUAUCUAACCAGAAAGCCACGGCUAACUACGUGCCAGCAGCCGCGGUAAUAC